rnacentral:snRNA from 1 species
AUGACCAUCUUGGCUUUAGGCUAAUAUCAGGCAUAGUUUGCAGGCCCUGCAGCCUCUCCCGGCCCUCUGAUAUGUCCUCCACAGGAGGUCUAUAUUGAGCAAAUUCUUUUUGGUGUUGGGUGGUGGAACCGGAGCGUGCUCCAUCCACUCCAUGCAUUGACCUGGUAUUGCAGUGCUUCCAGGACCGGUGCAAAAAAA